UGACUAUCCUAACUAUCUCUCAGAACUUCUCAAAUUACAGCCUUACAGUUAGUUACACUGUCUGAGUGUUUGAGGAUUGGUCAUUGUGAACUUGGAGGUUGAGGAUUGGUCAGUGUGAGGUUGGAGGUUUGGGAUUGGCCAUUGUGAGGUUGGAGUUAAGGAUUGGUCUGUGUGAGGUUGGAGGUUGAGGGUUGUUCAGUGUGAGGUUGGAGUUGAGGGUUGGUCAGUGUAAGGAUUGGAGUUGGGGAUUGGUUAGUGUAAGGUUAGAGAUUGAGGAUUGAUCAGUGUUGGAGUUGGGCUUUGGUCUGUGUGAGAUUGAAGUUAAGGGUUGGGUAUUGUGAGGUUGCAGGUUGAGGAUUGGUCAGUGUGAGAUCGGUGUUGGGGAUAAUUCAGUUUCAGAUUGGAGUUAUGGGUUUGUGUGAGGUUGGAUGUUGAGGAUAAGUAUGUGUGACUUUGGACUUUUGGAUUGGUCAUUGUGAGGUUGGAGUUAAUGGUUGGUCAGUGGGAGGUUGGAGGUUGAGGAUUGGUUAGUGUGAUGUUGAGGAUUGGUUAGUGUGAGGUUGAGUGUUGAUCAGUGUGAGUUUGGGGAUAGGUAUGUGUGAGAUUGGAGUUGGGGAUUGGUCAUUGUGAGGUUGGAGGUUGAGGAUUGGUCAGUGUGAGGUUGGAUGUUGAGGAUUGGUUAUUGUAAGGUUGGAGGUUGAGGAUUGGUCAUUGUGAUGUUAAGGAUUGGUUAGUGUGAGGUUGAUGGUUGGUCAGUGUGAGGUUGAGGGUGGAGGAUUGUUCAGUGUGGUUGGAGGUUUAGGAUUGGGCAUUGUGUGGUUGGAGGUUGAGGGUUGGUCAGUGUUUGAUUGGAUUUGGGGAAUUGGUCAAUGUGGGGUUGGGGUUGAGGAUUGUUCAGUGAGGUUGGAGGUUGACGUUUGGUUAGUUUGAUAUUGAGGAUUGGUUAGUGUGAGGUUGAUGGUUGGUCAGUGUGAGGUUGAAGGUGGAGGAUUGUUCAGUGUGGUUGGCGGUUGAGGAUUGGUCAUUGUGUGAUUGGACGUUGAGGUUUGUUCAGUGUUUGAUUGGAGUUGGGGAUUGGUUAGUGUGAGGUUGGGGGUUGAGGAUUGUUCAGUGAGGUUGGAGGUUGAUGUUUGGUUAGUUUGAUAUUGAGGAGUGGUUAGUGUGAGGUUGAUGGUUGGUCAGUGUGAGGUUGAGGGUGGAGGAUUGUUCAGUGUGGUUGGCGGUUGAGGAUUGUUUAGUGAGGUUGGAGGUUGAGGAUUGAUAAGUGAGAGGUUGGAGGUUGAGGAUUGGUUAGUGUGGGGUUGGAGGUUGAGGAUUGGGCAUUGUGAGGUUGGAGGUUGAAGAUUGGUUAGAGUGGGGUUGGAGGUUGAGGAUUGGGCAUUGUGAGGUUGGAGGUUGAGGAUUGGUUAUUGUAAGGUUGGAGGUAGAGGAUUGAUCAGUGUGAGGUUGGAGGUUGAGGAUUGGUUAGUGUGAGGUUGGAGGUUGAGGAUUGGUUAGUGUGAGGUUGGAGGUUGAGGAUUGGUUAGUGUGAGGCUGGAGGUUGAGGAUUGGUUAGUGUGAGGCUGGAGUUUGAGGAAUGUUCAAUGAGGUUGGAGG